AUGGACCGAGUCGGCAGCGGCGAGAAGCACCUCGAGGACUGCACCGUCGCCAAUGCCCUCGGAACUUGGGUCUUCUCUGUUGCUGGUGCUCUCCUUGCCAUUCCUGUGGGCAUAAAGAGGAAGUCCUUCGCUCCGCUGGUGUUCUUCGGCACUACUGGAACUAUGCUUGACAUCAUCAUGGGCAUUAGCCAGUGUGAGAGGGAGCAUGCUGAGCGGCAGAUGAAGCUUUUAGAAGCGCAAAACCUUGCAAUGAAUGCUUCAGUAGAUGGUGAAAGCUUGACUGAUAAGUGA
rnacentral:rRNA from 1 species